AUUGAACGCUGGCGGCAUGCCUUACACAUGCAAGUCGAACGGCAGCACGGGGGCAACCCUGGUGGCGAGUGGCGAACGGGUGAGUAAUGCAUCGGAACGUGCCCGGAAGUGGGGGAUAACGUAGCGAAAGUUACGCUAAUACCGCAUAUUCUGUGAGCAGGAAAGCAGGGGAGCGCAAGACCUUGCGCUUUCGGAGCGGCCGAUGUCGGAUUAGCUAGUUGGUGGGGUAAAGGCUUACCAAGGCGACGGUCCGUAGCUGGUCUUAGAGGAUGAUCAGCCACACUGGGACUGAGACACGGACCAGACUCCUACGGGAGGCAGCAGUGGGGAAUUUUGGACAAUGGGGGCAACCCUGAUCCAGCCAUGCCGCGUGAGUGAAGAAGGCCUUCGGGUUGUAAAGCUCUUUCGGACAGAAAGAAAUCGCAUCGGCUAAUACUCGAUGUGGAUGACGGUACUGUCAUAAGAAGCACCGGCUAACUACGUGCCAGCAGCCGCAGUAAUAC
rnacentral:rRNA from 1 species